rfam:Nocardioides sp. Root190 contig_9, whole genome shotgun sequence.
UUGGUUCCGGUUCACGUCCGCAUCCCGCGAGACGACCCGGGCC